UUUCCGUAGGUGAACCUGCGGAAGGAUCAUUGUCGAAACCUGGCAGAACGACCCGUGAACCGUUGGAAAUCACCACGGGCGACGGGCCUCUCGGUCGGUCGCCUGACGGCUGUCGAGAGCGGACUGUGGGCGACCCCAGUACCUCUCCGUGGCCACAAAGAACGAACCCCGGCGUGAAUUGCGCCAAGGAAUCGAAAAAACAGACGAACGCUCCCCUCGUCCCGAAAACGGUGCCACGGAGGGAUGCGCGGUCAUCGAUAUCGCAUAGAAACGACUCUCGGCAACGGAUAUCUCGGCUCUCGCAUCGAUGAAGAACGUAGCGAAAUGCGAUACUUGGUGUGAAUUGCAGAAUCCCGUGAACCAUCGAGUUUUUGAACGCAAGUUGCGCCCAAAGCCGUCAGGCAGAGGGCACGCCUGCCUGGGUGUCACGCAAUGUCGCCAAGUGCCCCCUCUCCCCGUCACGGGAAGAGAAAACGAGGGACGGCGGAUGUUGGUCUCCCGUGCGCUCCCCGCUCGCGGUUGGCCGAAAUAACAGCCCCCUGUCGAUGGCAGCCACGGCACACGGUGGUUGGCAGCAAUCGAGCUCGAACCCCGUCGUGGGCGAGCCUCGACGAGGGGUGCCAAAAGACCCCGAGGCGAAGCUUCCUCGCGAAGCGACCCCAGGUCAGGCGGGAA
rnacentral:rRNA from 1 species